GAUCUCAUAUCCUCUCCUCCCCAUCUUCUUCUGUUUUCUUUUCCACAGUUGAUGUGAAUUUUCCGCGGGUAACUUCCCAGCCUCUUCUUCUUCUCCAGCAAAGUAAACACCUACAAUCACUGAAUUCUUUGCGGGCAACUUCCCAUCCUCGCUGUUUCUGAGAAUCAAACCUUAAUUCUUCAUCUUCUCCAACAAAUCCACCCCCUUAUUAAUCGCCUGUUUUUCUUUUUCUCCAGCAAAUCCAAUCCCGGUAAAUCCCCUCUUCUUCCUCUUACCCUCUAACUACAUCAAUUCUACGUGCAUAUAUGGUUGAGUCCUUUAGAUUUUAUGUCUCCGUAAAAAUCAUAUGCUGCAACUGUAGAUUUCCGAUCUUCGAUGUUAUUCUCUCUUUUAUUUUUUCUACUUAAGCUUCUUCACCUUCUGGUGGUGCUGAUCGUUGAUAACUCUUCCUUUUCUCUGGAUCUAACACAAUGUAGGCUCAGAAGAAGGUUUCCUCCCCAAGACAGUUUCUGAAUGGUAAGGGAGGAAAUUGGAAAUCGUCAAGAAAUCUACUCAUUUUCCUGCUUCUCAUCCUGCAAGCGCCGCCCAGUCUCAACCGCAUUUCCAUCUCCCUCCCUCUCAGGUAUGUAUCAAAAUAUGGAGUCGGAUUUGGGUAUAAUUAGGGAAUUAAAAUUGAAUCUCUUUUAAAUAUGACGAUUGUGCGUCAUUAAUUUUAUGUCGCAGGGAGGAGGAGGGACGCAAUCAGCUGGACAGAACUUCGUAGCCGGAAGCGAAGCCACAAGUGAGGGCUAGGAGAGGCCAAGCUACUUAUCCAUUAAAGUUCUGGAGUUCUCUCAUCAACCAGGAAAGUUCGAACCUCUGCAUUUUAUCUUCGUCGCUCUUUACCUCCAUCUCUAUUUUCUGAUUCAUUUGUUCCAAUCCUUACAUUCUUCUCGGAUUUUGCGACUUCCAGGGUCACGGUGAGAGCUUUCUAGAAACAGUUUAUGUGGGGCGGAUGCGGAUCUGACUUCGGGAUGUCGUAAAGGGACAGAGUUAUGGAGCAUCGUUUGCUCUCUUCUACCUUUCAGUUUAUAUUUACAGGUUUCGUAUUCUGACGGGCAGUUGUCUAAGUGGUUCAUGUCUCGGCAUUUCCUAUACUGAAGUGUUUAAUGUUUCAUUGUAUCUGUGUGAAUUCAGCUCAUCUCCCAAUACCCUUUUCCAAUUCGCAAUUGCCACUUAUUAUUUACCGUCGUUCCCUUCCUUUCCCUCCCAGUUUUCUUUAUCUCUGCUUCCUUCUUUUUUUCUUCCAGCUGCAAUGUAAAUGUUUGUUGCUGCUUCCUGUCUGAAUUGAUUCUUUUUGCAUCUCAAUUACUUCAACGGGUUCCUCCAGUACCAUGUGUCAAUGAAGUUCAGACUAGAAAAUGAAAUUACGGCGUUUCAAAGUUUAGAUAUUUUCCUGCAUAAAGCUGCCUGUCUUUAUUAUUUUAUGUGUUUUUAUCAUCUAUCUGAAUUAGUGAAUACUAAAUUACUAAUGUAUCAAUUGAGUUUUGAGCAAUUAUUACAAUUAUUAACUUUGGAGCAGUUUUAAA
rnacentral:lncRNA from 1 species